rnacentral:rRNA from 1 species
UCCGUAGGUGAACCUGCGGAAGGAUCAUUAAAUAAUCAAUAAUCUUGGCUUGUCCAUUAUUAUCUAUUUACUGUGAACUGUAUUAUUAUUUGACGUUUGAGGGAUGUUCCAAUGUUAUAAGGAUAGACAUUGGAGAUGUUAACCGAGUCAUAAUCAGGUUUAGGCCUGGUAUCCUAUUAUUAUUUACCAAAUGAAUUCAGAAUUAAUAUUGUAACAUAGACCUAAAAAAUCUAUAAAACAACUUUUAACAGCGGAUCUCUUGGUUCUCGCAUCGAUGAAGAACGUAGCAAAGUGCGAUAACUAGUGUGAAUUGCAUAUUCAGUGAAUCAUCGAGUCUUUGAACGCAACUUGCGCUCAUUGGUAUUCCAAUGAGCACGCCUGUUUCAGUAUCAAAACAAACCCUCUAUCCAACUUUUGUUGUAUAGGAUUAUUGGGGGCCUCUCGAUCUGUAUAGAUCUUGAAACCCUUGAAAUUUACUAAGGCCUGAACUUGUUUAAUGCCUGAACUUUUUUUUAAUAUAAAGGAAAGCUCUUGUAAUUGACUUUGAUGGGGCCUCCCAAAUAAAUCUUUUUUAAAUUUGAUCUGAAAUCAGGUGGGAUUACCCGCUGAACUUAAGCAUAUCAAUAAGCGGAGGAA